UUGCACCAUUCAGCAGAGAGCAGCUCGUAAAGGGAACAUGCUGGUCAAACUGCUGUAUUUGUCACUUCUUUUACACUCAGGUCUGAGUGUCGUCGUUCUUCAGUCUGGAGAUCAAACAUCUCACCCGGGAGACAAAGUGACGCUGGACUGCCGGCUGGGCUCAGGGUCCAGCAUGGGCAGCUACAUCAUGCUGUGGUACCGACAGAGCCACCACGGAGCCCAAAUAGAGUUUCUUACAAAGGAGUAUGAUGAAACCACGGGCCGCUUUAAGCCACACUUCAAUACAGACAAAACCAGCUUCUCUCUUCAAAUCACCAAGCUGCUUCUCAACGACAGCAGCACCUACUACUGCGCUGCCAGUGUGAACAACUACGAUCCAGCUUACUUUGGCAGCGGCACCAAACUCACAGUUCUGGAAAAAGAUCGCAACAUCACUUUACCGACAGUUAAAAUCCUUCGCCCCUCAAAGGCCGAAGAGACGAAGACAAAAAGGGAAAAGAAGAAGACGACGCUGGUGUGUGUGGCCUCGGAUUUCUACCCGGACCAUGUCAGCGUGUCCUGGGAAUGCAGCGCGGGAAAAUGUGACAAAGCUGCGACGGACAGCGCCGCCAAGCGGGUCGACGGUGGUAACUACAGGAUCACCAGCAGGCUGAAGGUCCUCACAGAAAUCUGGGAAAACCCCGAGAACACGUUCACCUGUCUCGUCUCUUUCUAUCGUGGGGAAAAUGACAUCGUAGUCGAGAAAAAAAUGAUUCCUGGGGUCCCAGGUAACUCCACUGGAAACACGAGAGAAAACUAUUUGAUGAUCACUCAAAAAGCCAAACUCUCCUACUGCGUCUUCAUCGUGAAGAGCUGCGCCUACGGAGCCUUCGUGGGAUUCGUCAUGUGGAAACUUCAGGGUUCAAAGAGGAAACGCUGAGAGCAGAAGACGACCAUCUGAUGUCUGUACAGAAAGUCUGUCGUUUCUCAGCGUUGCAGAGCGAUUCAUGGACAUAAAAUAAGAUCAAUAAAAAGUUAAAUGUUCUCCCUGUUAUUUCUGCGCUUACAAGUCAUCAACUGAAGGUUUUGACUUUUUACUGGUGUUUAAUUUUGGUGUCAGGUGAAAAAAAUGUCAUUUUAAGACAAAAAUUCAAUAUUUUAAGAUUUGUGAUAUUUAUAAUAUAAUAGAUGCAAAGAGAAGAACAAAAAAUCAGUUUAAAUGUUUCAGUUUAUCAGCAGUAAAUCUAAAAUAAACAUUUAUCAGUAUUUCUUUUUUUUUUUGUUUUCAAUUUUUUUUUUAAUGUACCUCUAUAACUGAGUCAAUCGGCUUCUGGUUUGAUGGAAACAAUUUUCUUCCUGACUUGAAUGUUUUUUAUACAUCACCUGCUUUGUCUAUGACUUUCUGCUUGAUUUUCAACCAUUCUGUUAAUAAAUGGAGCUUUUUCAACAAGUA